GAAACGCUGCAAAGGACUCAACCUAAAUGCUGCAAAAACUCCAGCAGAGAGCGGCGUUUAACUUGCAAGACUGGAAGAUUUCACACACAACAAGACUGCACUUCCCAUUCUUUAGUGUUGAUCGGUGUCUGCCUGUGUGGAGACGUUUACAGUCUGCAGACAAGGACCAGCCAAGGACCAACCAAGGACCAACCAAGGACCAGCCAAGGACCAACCAAGGACCGGCCAAGGACAGGCCAAGGACCUGCAGAGGCUACAUCAUGGAGGUCGUGUGAUGAUAACGAGCCAUCUUCAUUAAAAGUGGGCAAACUCCAGCUGCUGAUGAAAACCACGAGAUGUGACUGAAAGCUCCGGAAAAAAGCCAGUGGCGGUUCAGCGGGGAGAAGAUGAGA